GCCGGACUCUGCAUGAGUCACCGCCUGCCUGCAAGCCCAGAGCUCGCCGCACCCCCCUGCCUCUCCGCACCGUCCCACAGGCUGUGACCCUCCACCCAGCCAUAGACGGUUCUGCUCUUGGCACAAAGGAGGGCUUCUUAGCCGGGAAUAUGGCUGCCCGGGAGGGGCGACUUCUGUGCUUGUUUUUCCUUCCUGGCACUGAAAACAAGCACAUCCACCCAACAAAUAAAGACGCGGUCAAUGAAAGCAGCUGUGUUUCAAGGGGAGACAGGGAGCAAGCCAAGGAAUAAAUGAAAAGACCCAGUGACAAAAUGCCCAUUCAUCGGGUUCACUCGGCAAACAUUUACUGAAGCAUCUGUGUGCCAGGCACUGUCCUGAGUGCUGGGAAGACACAAAGAUGCCCUUCAGAACGAUGACCCCCGCCUCGCCCUCCGCUGGAACCGGGAGGCAGACACACACAUAAAUACGACACAGUCAACCGUCCCCAGUUCACAGCAUCUAAAGGAGCUAGGAAUGCAUGGGAUGCUUAUGGAAUGUGCGAGAACACGGGUGAGUCUCACAAAAAGAAUGUACACGGAGUACAUACUGUCGGAUUCCAUUUCUAUCAACUCCUGAAGCCUGCAGAGCUAACACCUACUGCUGGAGGGCAAGGCAGUAGCUGCUUGUUGGGGUAGGAGAUGAGGAGAACACCAAGUGGGCUUCUGGAAUGCUGGACACCCGUGAGACAAAGUCUCACUGUGUUCCCAGGCUGAUCCCCAACUCCUGAGCUCAAGCCAGCCACCAGCCUUGGCCUCCCAAAGUGCUGGGAUUACAGGCGUGAGCCACCACGCCGGGCCCAGAUGAACAGAGAAAAGAGGAAGGUAUGGAAAAGAGUGAAAUUGGCAUAAAAAAUCCAAUAAAGGGCAACGAGCAGGAAACAACAAAAACAUGGGAAACUGCCGACCUGAGGAAUCGCGCUCUUCUAACUUUACAGCUUCACCUGCCGUGUUUGCUCCUGGAGGACUGAGACUUUUGUCUGAUUCGUCUGCUGCUGUCUUCCCGAUGCCUAGAACACUGCCUGAUGCACGGGAAGUAUUUGUCAGAUACAUCCCAUGGCUUCUAAUGCCAUUUGCAAGGAUGAAAGCUGGGUGUGCCCGGCUGUACGGCAAUACUUCCAAAGGCCUGUAGGACUCCCCAGUGACUGUCCCAUUCACCAGGAGGAGGACUGCAGUCACCUGCAUUGUCCUGGGAAGGUCAGCCAGGCCUUUUCCCAAUGUCUGUCUGGGAAAAGCCCCGGUGUAGUCUGCUCGGUCCUACACCCAGAAUCACGGGGGCUUCAGGAGCAGGCAUUACGAGGCAAGGAGUAGCUUCUCCCCCUCACCUCCCACUCAGCAGAACGCACUAGCCCUGUGCUCUUCUGAUCCUGAAGGCAGCUGAGUCUGAAAAGUUCCUGUACCUUUAAAGGUACUAGAGGCAGUGUGGUGCCCACUCAGGAACUGCAUGAUUUAAAUAGGUUUCUAGGAUAAAGGCAACUCGUAGCACAAAGGAACAAGUCCCAGGGAGUGGCAUUCCAGAUCAUUUGAUUCCUGAGCGAAGGAAUUAUUAUGGUGUGGAGGUGGGGACCUCCUUACUACAUUCCAAAUUGCAAUAAGGUUGUAAGGGUUUUCUCUUCCAUUCUGAAGUACUUUGACAAUAGUUUUGAACUUCAAAAAUGUUUAUUAAAGGUGUUUUCACAGCAGUUUCAUAAUGUUUAAUUUGUUAAUUACUGGAAUUGAUGCUAAAUAAAACAGGCAAGUAAUACUUCAGAUGGCUUCAUCUUCAGAGUCUUCUUCAUGUGUGACUCAAAAUGCACAAUUUUGGCCGGGCACAGUGGCUCACGCCUGUAAUCCCAGCACUUUGGGAGGCUGAGACAGGCGGAUCACCUGAGGUCAGGAGUUUGAGACCAGUUUGGCCAACAUGGUGAAACCCCAUCUCUACUAAAAAUACAAAAAUUAGAUGGGCAUGGUGGUGUGUGCCUGUAAUCCCAGCUGCUUGGGAAGCUGAGGCAGGAGAAUUGAUUGAACCCAAGAGGCGGGGCUUGCAGUGAGCCGAGAUCCCGCUCCAGCCUGGGCAACAAGAGCGAGACUCCGUCUCAAAAAAAGAAAAAAAAAGCACAAUUUCAGGACAGCCUAAGCAAAUAAAAAAUGGGAAAUGGAAAUGGAUUCGAAGCAGGGAGGACGUUCCGCCCACUGUCACACCGAAGGAAUGGUGGAGGCUGUGAGUCCUCCGCCCACUGUCACACCGAAGGAUGGUGGAGGCUGUGAGUCCUCCUGUAAGCCGCCGCUGGAGAAGGGGCAGCUCUGGAACCUGACGACAUUCUCCUAUCUUGCAUGAGGUGGAGACAAAGAGUCCUUCUGCGCUGGGACAGGAUGAGGGCGAAGUGGUGACUUCAGGUCAGAAGCAGAGCCUUGGGGACCUCUGAUUCUCAAGGGCGAGCUCCCUCCAGAACCCCAAGAGAUGGCCCUGACUGCAUGGGAAAGCGUGUCUCACCAUUGCAAUGUUCUCUAAGUCUGGAGGAGGCGGAGCCCAGUGAGAAUGACAGGCAGACCGCAAGGAGGCCCGGAAGCCCCCCAUGGCGAGGAUGCAUCCAAGUGUAUUCUGUAGGAGUGACCAGUGGCCACGUGGGUAGUGGGCAGAGCUUGUUUUCCUCCAAUAUCAGCGUACAGAGCAGGGGAGCCUGGUGAAGGUUUCUCUCUGAAAUCAUGGAUUCAGCUGUAUUAGUUUCUAUCCAAGGCUGGCAUAGCUCACCUUCCACUCCAGCAAUGACCUCGGGCCAGCUGUCACGAGCCUUCUCACCACGAGGAUGGUCUGGGGUGGUGAGAUCUCACUGUUGGCCAUAAUUCAUUCAACAUUUCUUCACUUCUCUGCUUAAUUUUGGUCGAAUGUCAUGC
rnacentral:lncRNA from 10 species